GAUCCAAUUUUAUUUUGUGUGUUUUUUAGAGUUUUAGAUAUUUAAUUUAAAAGUUACUUUUCUCAUGUUGUAAGCUUGUUAAUUUUAAUUCUUGAUUGACCUAAUUUUAGUACGUGUGUUUUUUUAGAGUUUUAGUUAAUUAGUUUAAUCAAUGCUCAUGUUUUAAAAAGUUUGUUAAUUUUGGUUUUUGACUGAUCUUGUCCUAGUUUAUAGUUUUUCAAAAUUUUAGUUAAUUAGUUUUAUCCCAUGUUAUUAUACUCAUGAAUUAAAAAUAGUUAAAUUUAGCUUUUCUACUUAGCUGAUGUGUCCUUUUUUAAAUUUUUGGUUAUCAUUUUGCUUAAUCCCUUGUUACUUAGUUUUGUUUUUGUUUUGGAAGUUAUUAAUGUCUAGUUGUUGAUUGAUAUUACCCUAGUUUAUGUGCUUCUAGAAUUCUGAUGGUUAGUUUUUUUAUUAAUAUCUUGUUAAUUUGUUUGAUCUAGAACCCAUUAGUUAGUUGCUUUGAUGAAAUCCCUACAAAAAACCUAUUUUUCAAAAACCCUUUAUUGUUAGUUUGUUCGAUUAUUUGACUUAUAAUUUUUCUAAAAAUUUUCCAAGUGUUCCAUGGUAGUUUAGACUUCUUGAACUUGAAUUUAAGACUUUGUUUGAGUUAAAAAUCACUUUUAAAAUGGAAGAUAUGAAUGAGUCUUUUGGGUGGUUCUGUUUUCACCCAGUUUUGGACACUUAAAAUUUUUUUAUAAACAUAAAUUACUAGAUGACUCUUGAAAAGUAAAUUUUUGUUUGCUUAAUUUUGAUUCAUUACUUUGGUUUAAAAGGUGAGAAUUUUUUGUUUUAUUUUAAUUUUGAUUCAUUAUAUUACAUUGAAAAAUUAAAAUCUUUGUGUAGUUUGGACUUGAUUCCUUGCUUAGUUCGAAAAGUUAGAAUUUUGCUUAGAUCGGUUUUAAUAGAUUUAAUUUUAAAAGUCAGUUUUUUUUAGGAGUCAGCUUUUUAUUUAGUUCAAGUAUUUUAUAAUUUUUAGUCUAUUAUUCUAAUUGAUCCUAUGUAAUAAAGUUUAUGUUUUUAAGUUUAUUUUGAUCAUGUUUUGGUUCAUCUUAUUUAGUUUAGGUACUAAUCUUAUGUUAUUUUGCUCACGUUCUAAAAUUGAUGAUUCUAGUUUUUGAUUAGUUAAUAUGUUUUAGAAUUCUAUGUGCUUGUGUUACUAUAUUCACAUUAUUAUAAUUACAUGUUUAGGUGUUUGGUUGAUUUUAAAUUAGUUCUAGAGUGUUUAUCUCAAUUUAUGUGUUUGAUUGAUCCUUAUAAAUUCCCGAUUAAUAUUUCAUUAGUUUUAUUUGAUCUAAAGUCGUUUGGUUUGUUGCUUUGGUGAAUAUUUAUUAAAUUUGAUUUUUAGAGGCCAUUGGAAAAUCAUGAAGAUUGGCCUCUACCAUCACCAUUAUCAUUUUUGUUAAUUACUAAAAAAAAUUUUACUUUGAGGUUUCAUUUUUGUUUUGUUUGGUGUUUUAUUUUUUCCCAAAUUAAUCCCUUUUAUUUUAAAAUAAAAUACUUUUAUCAAAAAAUCAUUUUAAAAAAAAUCUAUUUCAAAAACUCAUUAGAUUCCUCAGGAUCAAAAUCUUUUUUUUUAUUUUUAAAAAAUAAUAUGCAACCAUAUUUUGUUCGGUUUGCAUCCUUCUCGGUUUCUAACAAAAGGUUUGGUUUUGAACAAAAACACGAAUCAAAGCUUAUGGUCCCAAAUAAUGGGAUAAUUCUGGGCUAAAUUUGUGUAUAUUAAUUUGGGGAAUUGGCGAAACCCCUACAUAAGAAAAUCUUUUCAAAAAUUAUUUUUGUUGCCAUUUUUGUCACUUUUUGAAAUUAUAUCUAUCUUUUUUUUUAGAAAUUGUAUACAAGAUGAGUGUGAUAAUUAUUGUUUUCAUAUAUUUUGACAAUUUCUGCUAUGAUAAUUAGAUAACGAGCAUGCUAGGACUUCUUAUUUUAUUGUUUGUUAUCUAACCUCUCAUGUUUUGUGGAAGCGCAUUAGGAGUUAAAUAUGCUAUCCAGGUACGUUCCCUAAUACCCACUUUCUAAACCCUAUGAAUAUGUAUGCCCAUGCUUGCUAUCCUCUUUAAUUGCCUUGAUAUACAUUUGAUGAUUGUUUGAUUAUCUUUGAUAAAACAAAUGUUGUGUGAUGUAUCUCCAAACUAAUCUCUUAUGUUUUAUGAUAGCGCUUGGGAAGCCGUCCAGGUACGCAUUUUUAACUCUCCUUAAUUGUGAUUUGAUUUUGUUUGAUAUGUUAUAUUUUUUUUGGAAUCACCUAGCCUACUUAGGUAUCCGAGAUCAACCAUUUAAUUGCCACGCUUCCCUUAACUUAGUCAGUAGAGACCUCUUUAGGGCUUAGAGGGGUGCUACCUCCUAGAGGUACCUUCCCAAUAAGUAACCUGAUCCCCGGACCAAGACUUGGGUUUUCAAAGACACGCUUUUCCAAAAAUUAUGGAGUCAUUUUUUUUAGGGUUUUAUUUCUUGUUUUAUUUUCCCUUCAAAAAUAAAAAUAAAAUAAGUGGCGACUCCAACUUUUUUUUAAAAAAAAUCAAUUUUUCACAAAUAAAUAAAAAGCGAGUCUCGCCGAUCGAGUGGGGACGCACGUGAAAAAUGCGGGUCCACAACAUGGUUCAGUGAUUAAUGUGAUCCCUAUGUUCAGGUGAAGUGCAUCAAUACUCAACAAUUAAUCCAUUAAUCAAAAGGAAUAAGAAGAGUUACAAUAGUAAAACUUUCAAAAAAACAUAUUUCAAUUGCAAUCUCACUCUCUAAAAAACAAAACCCUAAAACAUAAAAGGAUUACCAAAACGAGUCUUGAGCCCUAAUCCAUAAGGGAGCAUUUAUAGGGUUGUCCACUAGGCUUAACUAACUUGAGCCAAUCAAGGCUUGGGUCACUUAAUCUAGCACAAAACGAGUUCUAAUUGAUUAAUUAACCACAUAGGGCAUCUAAUUAAUCAAUUAGCUCAACCAAGGACUUUGUUCAUUAUCGCUUGUGUAGUCUUGCAUGAUAACCAAAACACCCUUAUGCAUAAGAAUGAACCUAAAGCCAAUUCAACCCUCAUAAACCAUAUCAUCAUGGUAUAAAAGUUCAAAACGGGGACCACUAGGACCCAUAGGAGUACUAGCUCCCUCAGAAUCCAAUUCUAAAGUUGAUUCAACAUUCUACUAAACAGAAUCAACUACACUCCAAUAUCUUAAAUAAAUAACAAUGUGAUAAAGGUUAGGUCAUUAACCUUAUCCACUGCAUGCAAACUCCUCAUGAACUGGUGUUUGUAAUCUAACAAGGUAGACUAUCACCUAUUAAGAUUACCUCUCAAAUACUUGAGUUACAAAUCUUACUUAUUAUGUGAUUAACAAACAUACUCCAAUUCCAAGGAGCAUAUGUCAAAUUCCACUAAAUGAAUUAUUGUAGUCAUAGAUUUUAUGAUCAUGUGUCCUUUGGAUUACCCAAGGAGACACACCAUCUCAUUACUUCUAUGAGAUAUCAUGGUGCCUCUAUCAAGAAUACUCAUUGCCAUCAACCAUCUUCAAUAGUAACCUAAUAUAUUAGGAUAUAUGACCACUUUAAGGUCUUACCCAUAGGUCAAGGCCUCCCAUUGAUGUUGGCAUAGACUCAAUAUCCUAUCAAGGUUGAGAGUUCAUGUAGUAUGGUAGCUUAGUGAAUCAUGACAAUUGAUUGCCUUACAUCAUGAUUCAUCGUGGGUCUUGUCUAGUGCGCAUCAUAUACACUAGUGGACUUACCAAGGAAAAACCAUCUUGAUGGCCAAGACAAGUCAUCCCUCCAAUUAGGAGGUGGUUUUCAAAUUUGAUUUGAUAAUCAAUUACCGAACCAGUUUUUUGAAGUUGAAUGAGCUUGUUAAACAUAUUUUCGAAUUGGUUAGUAUUAAAAUGAGAGAAAAUUCCUUGCUUGAGAUCUUCCUAAGUAACAUACAUAAGUUCUUCUAAUAUUUGGGACCAAAGUUGGGCUUCACCCUCUAAAUAAAAUGAGGCUAGAGUAACCUUAUAAAAUUCAAUGAUUUCCUGGAAUGAAAAGUACUUUUCUACCUUGCUUACCUAAGUUGUAGGAUCAUCUUGACUAUCAUAAUGGGGAAAAUCAAUCUUAAAGGUCUUAGGAACGUAGUUGUUAAGAGAACCCCAUAUGUCAAAAUUAACACCAUUUCGACCAUUGCCCUUACUUGUAGAAUGCUUUCUAUCAUCCUUACUUUUACCAAAAAUGUGUUGGAUGAAUUGCUCCAUUCUCUUAGUGAUAUGACCCAGUAUCUCCUAUUGACUAAAGGCAAGAGCUGCCAUGGUCUCUUCCAUCUUUUUCAAACGAUCUUGUAGAUCCAUUCCUGGCUCUUAUAAAAAAUUUACGUUGAGGAACUAAAGCAACAAAAAGAAAAAGAAAAAUCAUUAGCUUAUAUGAGGAACUAAUGCCCUUCCCAGGCAGCUCAAAGAUUUGAUAUAAUUGUUCAAUGCCUUUAUUUAGAAUCAUUCAAGUCUUUUACAAUGACUUGCUUCACAUUUACAUGCAUAAAAGUAGGAAACAAUAACUUAAAAUAAACAUGUUCUAACAUGAACAAACACAUCCUCACAUUUACAACUAAUUCAAAUAUUAAAUAGAGAAAAAUAAGGAAUAAAAUAACAACUAGUUCUAAGGCAGCGUAAUAGCUUCCAUGAUUUUAAUUUCAUUCUUUGUUUCCAUUCCUUCUGGUGUUGGCAUCUUAUUGUCUAAGGUUUGUGUAAGAAUUUUACAUUUCCAAAGUAGAGCACGGUGCUCAUUCUUUACAUCAUUCAUCAUUUCCAUCCUAGUUCUCUAAGAUAAGAGGAGAAUGAAACCAUUUUCGUGGAAAGGUUUUUUUUUUUUUUUUUUAAUUUUAAUUUUUAUGUCUUUGCAAUUGGACCAUCUCUACUUUGUCAUGCUUCUAGAAUUCUAUACAUUAACUAAUGACCCUUCAGUAUCAUGUUAAAAAAACGUGUAAAAAAAUAAAAAGAAAACAUAGUUAGCAAGCUUAAAGGAAGAGUAAAGAUAGAUUGCCUCAAUGGAAAGAAACUCAUGUGAUAAGAGAAUAGGCUUCUAGGUAUUUUCCCACUAGCAACCAUGUUGCCUUAAGUGUUGAGUUUGAACAUGUGAAAGGAGACCAAGAUGUGGUCUUUGAGAAAGGUUAAAGAUAAGUUGGUUUUAUUAGUUAAAUUGUAUAAUAAUUAAGUUCCCAAAAAUUUUCAUUGUAGAUACAAACACAACUUUUAAGUGAACCAUAUGUUGUUGUUUUCCAUAGUUAUAUAGAUCUUUUGUCUAUUUAAUUUUGAGACCGUUCACUAGAAUGCCUAUUGAGCUACAUGCUCAAUGAACCAUAUACACAAACCAAUCCUACAAUUACGAUAAAAAAAGAAAAAAAUAUUCAAGUUUAUAAAUGAAUGGGGAUAGAGAUAUAUAAAAUAUACAACUUGAUUACAUGGCAGCUAGUUUACCUUUUGUUGUGUAAGAAUUUCCUUAUUUAGGCAUUUUAGAUUCUAUGACCAAUAUUUUGGAAGCCAUAUAUAAAAAUUCAUGGUAAAAGAAUAAAAAUAGAGUCAAUUUCAUUCAUACAAUACAAGAAACUAAGUUAUAGUGACAUGAUUUUAGUAGGGAUAAAAAAAAAAUUGCAACUAUAUAGUUUAUAUAGUUGCAGUUCCAAAAGGAUCUGUUUCUAUAGUUUUUUUAUGCCAAAAUUUGGUGGAAAAUAAUUUCCCUCUAAUGUUUAUAGGCACAGACGAUAUAUUCCAGCAUCAUUAUAGACUAUAAUGUUGUAGCCAGACAAGUGAGGCAGCCAUAGGAGUUCCACACAUUAGAGAUGGCUGCGGGGUACUUUUAUUCUGCUACCAUAAACCGGUUUUGCAUGGGGAUUCUGCUACCAAAAAUAGAUGGCUCGCAGAAAUAAAAGACCCUAAAAAUACCAUCUCGCUCUUCACAAUCUGAAACCUUUGCCUCCACACUGACAUUCUUUGUUGCUUCACGUUUGAAAUCCCCUCAAAAUCUUCUACUUCCUCUACUUCAACAAAACCAUUAUUGGAUCCUCUUCAUCCACUUCACUGGAAUAAAACACCAUCAAAUCUAGCUUUGAAACCGGUAAUCAAGGUACCUUCUCUUCACAUCAUCUCUGGUCGAUCUCUUUUUUCACUUUUUUCAAAGAGAAUGAUAUAAAACCCUAGCCUAGUCUUCAUCUUAAGCUGGAUUCUCUGAACUUUUGCUUUAGAAGUUGGUUCACUGUGUUAUUUUUUCAUUUAUCCAGAGGUUUUGAAAUUGAAAGUAGUUUGCUACUUGUUUGAAUAUGAUAUUUAAUUUGAAAUUAUUGAUUAUGAAUUGAAAUGGAAGGUUUGGGUUUGUUUAGGUUGCAGGUGUUGAAAUGAUGCAUAGGAAAAAAAUUGCAUAAACUAAUUUCAGUUUACCAAUCAUCUGUUUAAAUGAAAUGGAUGUGGUAUUUGCAUCUUUUUUUUUUUUUAAUCAUUAAUGUGUUCUCAUCGAAGUGUAGUUAAUUGCUAGAUCAGAAAUUCCUGUUUACUUCUAAGGAUGACAACUCAUGACUAAAGGCCAUAGAUUUUGGCUUGUUUGAUUUUGUGAAACAAGGCAUGUUCUUAGCCCUUCAAUCCAUAGAUAUAUGUAUAUUAAACCAGGAAUGUUCUUAGCCCUUCAAUCCAUAGAUAUAUAAGAUUCAUAAGAAAGUUUCUAAUAGAUUCUGUUUUCUCAUGCAUUAAAGGUAUUUCAAGCACCAUUCUUUGGAUCAACUUUGAACUUUUUCCAUCAAACUAAACACAUUUCCUUUUUGUUAUGAAAGACUGCUCAAAAUUGAUGGAGAUAAUUAUCCUGAGGUACAGAGUUUUAAUGUAACACCCUUAGAUUAGUUUAUGAUGAUUGCACAUUUGUUUGACCCCUAAACUGAAUUAUUCAGAUUUCUGAUUAAAUCCAAAUUGUGUACUUGAAUGUCAUACUCCCUUAUCAUAUUUAAACAUCAAUUCUGCAGACACUUUGCAGAAUGUUUAUCAUUAAUGUUGGACCUGGUUUUGAGCUGCCCUGGAACAUGUACAGUGACGAUUUAUGUUUAUCUAAGAACAACUUCCAAGAUUCAUGUGAGUUAAAAGAAGUUAUUUUAAUCUAAUAAAACUAUGACCUCUCUUUGCUACGAACAAAAGUUUUGAGUGAUUGCUUUUUGAAAAUUUUCUUAUGUUCUUGUUUCAAUGGUAUUGUAAUCGGAUUCAUUAGUUGUUAGCAGAUUGAACUCAUAACAUUAGCCAUUGGAUCUCUACUAUCCCAUAAGAAAGAAAAAUAAAGAAUAAAAUUAGCCACCAGACCAUCCAUUGUUUCUGUUGGAGGAAUAUCUAACAUAUUUUUGCACAAACUUGCUGAAAAUAUUCAAGAUGCAUAUGCAGAGGCAACAAAUAUUGCUUAGUAGGUUAAGUGUACCUGCUAAUAUUCCUUAAAUUCAACAAAAAUUUCUGAAAUUCUUUUCAUGAGUGGGUUUUACUUGACCAUACUAACUAGAAAAAUUGUAGCUCUUGUUGGUAGAAAUGGUUGAGGAAAAAGUAGUAUAAUUCCACUCAUGGAAUGGUUUGAUGAUCCUAUAUUAUGUAUUAGAUACACACUAGUUUCCUAUCUUUUGCUUACCUAUUUUCUUUUGCUUUAUAUGACUGUCAUUGGAAUCCUUUUAAAAAAACUUCUCAAAUUUUAAUGUUCCAAUAUCUUCUAGUAUAGGAGAGGUACUUUUGGAUGGAAAAAAUAUUAAAAACCUGAACCUGCCUUACUAUGUUUGAGCAUAAGAGAUGACAUUGCUUAUGGGUGGUCCAAUGCUACUUCUGUUCUUAUUGAAGAAACUGCUAAAAUAGGCAUGCACAUUCAUUUAUCAGCUCUCUUGAGAAAGGAUAUGAAAUAUAGGUAGAAAGUAAACUACACUGGACAUCUUAAGCACACAUUAUGGUCUUAACAAUCAUUUUUUGAUAUUCAUCUAGUUCAAUGCAAUGUAGGUGGGUUAAGUUGGUAUAACAUUGACAAAAGAGCAAAAAAUAAAUCUAUCUGUGUUAGGGUAGUGGUUUCAAAUCCAUCCAUGCUUCUACUUGAUGAAAUCGUUGGUGUCCUUGACUUUGAAGCAGAUAGUGUUGUUUAGGAGGCCAUAGAUAUCCUCAAGUAGGGACGAUCAACAUUAAUCAUUGCUCGACUAAUAAGUCUGGUAAGGAAUGUUGAUUACAUUACAGUGAUGGAGAAGGGCCACUUUGUUGAAAUGGGUACACAUGAUGAAUCGUUAAUAUGCAUAGCUUCUCUAGUGUGCAGAAGCUAUGAAACCUCCUAAAAGAUAUAUUCUUAUCAUAAACUUGUGCUUCUGUAGGACCUAGUGCAGUAUCUUGUACGCUUAUGUAAUGUGUUGAAUUUAGCAGUUUGCAACAAUUAAUCUCGUGUAACAAUUUUUUAUAAAUUGCAAAAAUACAUAUAUGUCAAUUUAUUUAUGUUUUUAAUUAUAAAUGGUGGUUAUUUUUACUUAUUUUUAAUUGGAGUGUUUUCUAUGUCACACGUUGAUCUUGCAAAUAAACAGGUUCUCUUAAAAAGCUCCUAAGAGUGGAAAUUCACACAAUGCAAAAAACCCAUUAGAUAUCAAAGUUAUAUCCUUCAUGACAUUCUUCAUGUUUCAUGCUUAGACUUACUUGAAGAGCUCUCUUUACACUAUGAGUAGACGGUUAUAACUAUUGCUUUCUUCUGAUUAGGAUGCAGCUUGAUGUUACAGUCAGGUGAAACCGUAAUUAUUGUUUUAGUUUUGUACUUUACGUAACUUAAUCCAGCAAAAAUCUAUUUGCACAAUAUCAGGAUAUUGUUUGUGUAAUUUUUGUCAAGUAAUAAAGUCCAUGUAUAACUGGACUUCACAUCGUGUGCUUUAAUUGAUCAAAUGUUAUUUCUUCUGUUGAUCAACAACAUAGUCUAGGAGAUUAUCACUAGGCAGAAACAUAGGUAACCACUCUUUUAUAGAACUGUGGAGAUAAUUUUUUUUUGUUCACUUUAAUGCAAACGAUAUGUUUGUGUAUGAUUUAAGUGGUUUGUUUUCUAAAUGCAGAGAGGAAGGGUGUUAAAGUAUGACAACCUGUACAUUACGGAAGAAAUCAUGCAAUUACUACAAACCAUGUGGGGGGGGGGGUAUAACUGAAGUCCAUAGUCAAUGACCACUACCCUAAUGAAUCCUUGUACAGUUGUAUAAGCUCGUGCAGUUGUAUUCCUUAAACAGCUUAUAGUCAUUGACUCUCUUCCUUGAUUUCACUCAUAGUUGUUUUAUCUCUUGUAUAUAUAUGAACAGUUUCAUAUA